rnacentral:rRNA from 1 species
GAUGAACGCUGGCGGCGUGCCUAAUACAUGCAAGUCGAGCGAACGGACGAGAAGCUUGCUUUUCUGAUGUUAGCGGCGGACGGGUGAGUAACACGUGGAUAACCUACCUAUAAGACUGGGAUAACUUCGGGAAACCGGAGCUAAUACCGGAUAAUAUUUUGAACCGCAUGGUUCAAAAGUGAAAGACGGUCUUGCUGUCACUUAUAGAUGGAUCCGCGCUGCAUUAGCUAGUUGGUAAGGUAACGGCUUACCAAGGCAACGAUGCAUAGCCGACCUGAGAGGGUGAUCGGCCACACUGGAACUGAGACACGGUCCAGACUCCUACGGGAGGCAGCAGUAGGGAAUCUUCCGCAAUGGGCGGAAGCCUGACGGAGCAACGCCGCGUGAGUGAUGAAGGUCUUCGGAUCGUAAAACUCUGUUAUUAGGGAAGAACAUAUGUGUAAGUAACUGUGCACAUCUUGACGGUACCUAAUCAGAAAGCCACGGCUAACUACGUGCCAGCAGCCGCGGUAAUACGUAGGUGGCAAGCGUUAUCCGGAAUUAUUGGGCGUAAAGCGCGCGUAGGCGGUUUUUUAAGUCUGAUGUGAAAGCCCACGGCUCAACCGUGGAGGGUCAUUGGAAACUGGAAAACUUGAGUGCAGAAGAGGAAAGUGGAAUUCCAUGUGUAGCGGUGAAAUGCGCAGAGAUGUGGAGGAACACCAGUGGCGAAGGCGACUUUCUGGUCUGUAACUGACGCUGAUGUGCGAAAGCGUGGGGAUCAAACAGGAUUAGAUACCCUGGUAGUCCACGCCGUAAACGAUGAGUGCUAAGUGUUAGGGGGUUUCCGCCCCUUAGUGCUGCAGCUAACGCAUUAAGCACUCCGCCUGGGGAGUACGACCGCAAGGUUGAAACUCAAAGGAAUUGACGGGGGCCCGCACAAGCGGUGGAGCAUGUGGUUUAAUUCGAAGCAACGCGAAGAACCUUACCAAAUCUUGACAUCCUUUGACAACUCUAGAAAUAGAGCCUUCCCCUUCGGGGGACAAAGUGACAGGUGGUGCAUGGUUGUCGUCAGCUCGUGUCGUGAGAUGUUGGGUUAAGUCCCGCAACGAGCGCAACCCUUAAGCUUAGUUGCCAUCAUUAAGUUGGGCACUCUAAGUUGACUGCCGGUGACAAACCGGAGGAAGGUGGGGAUGACGUCAAAUCAUCAUGCCCCUUAUGAUUUGGGCUACACACGUGCUACAAUGGACAAUACAAAGGGCAGCGAAACCGCGAGGUCAAGCAAAUCCCAUAAAGUUGUUCUCAGUUCGGAUUGUAGUCUGCAACUCGACUACAUGAAGCUGGAAUCGCUAGUAAUCGUAGAUCAGCAUGCUACGGUGAAUACGUUCCCGGGUCU